CCCCGGAGUCGGGCAGUGCGAGCGGGAGCUGGUUGUGCGGACCGCCGGCGGCACUAGAUGGGGCUGGCGGGCCCGCAGGGCAGAGGCUCCCCGUGACGGCCGCAGCCAGGCGGCCCGGCCCAGUCUGCGCCCGACUCUAUGGUGGCCGCCACAGCUGAGCGCGGCCCCGGCCCGGAGCUGCCAAGCCCACGUGCUGCGCUCGAUCCCCGGGGCAGCCUGGCUCGCUUCCCGGCCGCCCUCCCCGGGCCGCUCCGUGAGCCAUGGGCUCGGCGCAGGAGGCCCAGGCCUGCCUCGCCUUCUACCGGGGGCUCGGGCGGAGGGAGCCGCUGCACGAUCUCUGCCGGGCCGUGCUCGCCUUCCUGGAGAAGCUGGAGCAGUUCGCAGGGGGUUCUGUGAAGAGGUGUAAAGAUAAAAAUCUGGAGGAGGCUCUUCUGCUCUUUCAGGAGCUGAGCAAGGGGUUAUGGGAGCUAGACGAUGCCGACGUGCUUCCCUUAGUGCGCUGCGUGCUUGCUUUCCAAAUGGAGACGACCAGCAGUUCCAGCUCCUUCCAUAAGCUCGAGCAGAUUGUUACGAAGUUGUCGGAAGGUAAAGAAUCCCUGGUUGCUGAGGAAGUGAAUAAGUUAAUGAGCAGCCUGACCGAGUCCAAACAGGUGCUGUCUCCGGGAGACCUCCAGACAGUUUGCAUGUUCAUAGAGGAAAGCCGCCUAGGCCGACACCACUGGAGACUCAGCCUAGCCCCGCUGCUGCUGCGUGUAGCUGCCACGUUGAAUUGGGUGCUGCAGGACCCAACGGCCAGGAGCGGGGAGUGGAGCUACAUCACGGUCAAGACCUGCCUGCAGCUUUUCCAGGCGAUGUCAAAGGAAGUGUCGCCUCUGGUGUGGAGCGAAGCCGAGAACAGUGAAAUCGUGCAGAGCAUUUUGGGAUCUCUGCUGCAAGUCGUCAUGGAGCAGACAGCUAACAAGGACGCCCGCCUGCUGGCCGGCACUGCCGUGAGCAUGUUGGUGAACACUGCUGCUGAGCCAGAGAGAGGGGCCAGAGCCGUGCUGACUCUUUUCCAGCUAGUCGACCAAGGGCCAGGAGAGCUGAGAUUUGGAGAACUCAAGGUGGAGACGUCUGUCCUGAGUUCAGACGGCUUAGCGAGACUGGUGCUCACUAGGGGUUUACUAACUUGCUGCAAGAAGGAGAUCCUGAGCUGCCGGCUGGACAGCUUCCCACCCCAGGCUUGUCUCUUGCUGGACGUGCUGUUUCCAGCUGUCUGGGCUGUGAGCGAAGGGCAGAAGGAUUAUCAUUACUACCGUUUCCAAGUUUUCUCCCUCUGGCUGCAACGUAUCCUGGAGUGUCUGCCCGAGAUCUGGAAAGUCAAGGAGAGCCGCAUGCUGGCUGAGAACUCUGAACUGCUCCACAGACUGAGCCAGUUCAUCUGGAACAAUGCAGAAAGCCCGGUGGAAGGGGCGUCAGAGUUCAUACAUAGCUCCUUUCAACAUCUCCUGGAGAUCUACCGCCUGGAGUGCCAUCGCUUCGAGGACCUGGAGAGACCCCUCUAUGAACAGUUCCUGCAGAGAAUCAUCACAAUGCCCUGGCAGGUCAAAGCCAGAUAUUUCCCCCUGUGCGCCAUUCUCCCCUACGUGGGCACAGAGAAAGUUCUGGAUACCUACAAGGAUCUUCCCCAGCACCUUCUGAACUGCCUUUCCACUAACCACCUGUGCCCAGCUGCAUCAGACGUGUAUAAAACCAUUUUGCAACAGCAGCGCAAGCACUGGAUUGCGGGAGAGGAACCUGCCACAGAGGAGGAGCUGGCUCAGAAGUGGGCACUGCACUGGCUGCCCACCCUGGCCAGAGCUUUGACCUCUCCCAUCUCCUUCCUUCAGAGCAACGCUUCCAACUACCUUCUUGUCUGGACUUUGCGGCUCUUCCCCGCCUCUUACGCUUUGCUUGCUGAGAGCUGCAGUGGUGGGGACUCUGCCCACCUUCGGGCGUGGGUCGCCCUGCUGAACGGCCGCAAGAUCAUCACCGGGGCCUUGCCCCUGGAUGGGGAGACUUUGGAAAGGCUCUGCUGCUGCUUGCACUCCAGGGAGGAGAACAUUCGCCUAGCAGCUCUGGGUCUCCUGUGUUGCAGCCCCAGGACCAACCAGGCCUUGUCAGAGGUGGAGGUCCAUCUACUGAAGGAGUUCUUGCCACUGAACCUGAACUGCGACUCGUCCUCUUUCCGGCAGCUGCUCCAGGCUGCAGUGAAGAAGGCUCUGGUCCGGCUGAGGGACAGCGCCCUCUCUCAGCUGCGCAGCAAGAUGCAGAGCAAAGCUACUGAGCGCUCCGCCAGCACGGAUCCAGAAGGAGCACUUGCACAAGCAGUAGAUUUUGUGGAGUGGCUGCUGCAGUUAAGCAUUUCCUUUCUGACCCCAGGGUCAAACUACCAGAGGAAGAAGACUGCCCUGCUGCUCCUGGCAGCGGUGCUGGAGACCUGCACUGACACCUGGAGCCCCGCCAGGAAGAAGGGGCAGCCUCCACAGAACAUGGCGGCGUUGUUGAGCUGGGCCAGGCAGAAGGGCUGCUGGGACUUUUUCUCUAGAAGCAACUUGUUGGCAGUGCUGAGCUGCUUGCAGGACAGUACGAAUGAGGUCCGAGAGCUGGCAUCAGAGCUGCUCAUCCGCUACUUCCCACCGGCUUUCCCAGAACCCAUUGCUGUGGCUUUGUUUGAGCGUGCCCAGGAGGCUGUGAGCAGCCCCAGAGUGCAGGAGGCAGAAGCCGGAGCGGUGCUGAUGAAAACCAUCCUCCAGAAGUCAGACGGCAGCACCUUGAAGAGACUAUUCCCCGAGGGAAAAGCAGCUCCAACUCUGCAGCACCGAGGCCUGUGCUUUGCUCAGUAUCUUCUCCGCAUGUUGCAAGCUCACUACGCCAUGGCUUGUCAAGACCUGCUGCAGGCAGCGAGCACUAACCCAAUGCAUGGUGCGUCCUCCGGCAUCAUGGGGAAGGAGACAUCAGAGCUCCCAUGCCCCUUCUCUCUCCUGCAGUCCUGUCAGACUACAGCUGUGUCAUGUGAUGGAUCAGGAGUGAUGGCGGCGCUGCGGAGGUGUCUGCUCGAGGUACCGGAGGGGGCAGUCUCUAUGCUGAAGGGAGAGCACGUGCAGAGCUGGCAGGAGCUCCUCAGCCAUUUGGUGACCUUGCUGGGAGACAUCAGCACCUUCCUCCUGGGGGUGCUUCAGAGCAGGCAGGGGCCCAACGCCAACCAGCCAGCUGCUGCCCCUUCAUUUGCAGACAUGGUAAAUGCUAUUGGCUCCCUUAUCAUGCUGGGGAAAGGCCUGGAGCAGCAGGAUGGGGAGGACUCCAUCCUGCUGUCCGAGGAGCACAACCUUAUCCUGACCUGCUGCUGGGUCUCAGUGAAGGAAAUAGGGCUGCUCUUGGGAGGCCUAGUGGAGAAGAUUCUCCCUCUGGCACCACCGGCAGGGCCUGAGCCACUUCUGCCACUCACUGUGUUCAAGAUGGCGGCUAGAGUGUUUCAGGAAGUGCUGCUGAAGUGCCGGCACUGGGGAGCAGUUGAAGGUUGCAGCAUGGGAUUCACCAAAUUUUGCAGUGCUUUGCUGAACCAUCCUCAUGCAGAACUGCAGGCAGUGCCAAGAACGAUGCUGGCACAGGGUUUGGAAUUGCUAAGUGGCCCCAGGAGCAGCUCCAUUACCCGCAGGGCAGCUGGCUUCCCCAUGCUCUUCCUGUGUAUUGUCGGUGGGGAGGAUCCCUCCAAGGCGCGCCCUCUGCUAGCACAUUGCAUCCAGACUUCACUGGCCUUGGCCAACACGCCUCUCCCGCAGAACUGGGACCAGACGCUGGACCUCCCUCAGGUCUCCGCCUUGCACGUGCUGCAGACACUGGUGCGUGGCUCCGGCCUAGGAACGACGCUGCUGCAGUAUGUCACGCCUAUGAUGGCUCUGCUUCUGAAGGCACUAGGCUCGUCUAGCUGGGCCAUGAGAAACGCAGCCAUCCAGCUCUUCAGCGCCCUCACAGCUCGGGUGCUGGGUCCGAAGCGGAGCCGGGACGAUAGCUGCGCUCAGGACGGGGUGAGCCCUCAGGCGUUCUUCAGCCGCUACCCGCAGCUGAGGGAGAUCCUGCUGGGAGAGCUGCACUCAGCUCUGGAGACGGCAGGAGAGCCGGAGGGAGGGAGGUUUCACCUCUGCCCCUCGCUCCACGCCAUCCUCACGCUCUUGGCAAAACUCCAACCCGGGGCAGAUGGACUGAGCAGCGUCUCCACUUGCUUCCUGGAGCCCUUGCUUCAGCUUGCAGGAAACCCCAUCUACGCUGUGCGAGUCAUGGCAGCCAAGGCCCUAGUCCCUGUUGUCCCUACAGCUGAAUACGGGAAGAUCCUGCUGCGACUGGCUGGGGACUUAGCUAAGCAAGGCGGUGUCCUAUCCCACAACAUGCUGCAUGGGCGUCUGCUGCAGAUACGGGCUCUGCUGGCUUACGCUGCAGACACGAACUGUUUGUCACCAGAUGCCAUGCUGUCUGUGGCUCACCAGAUGGAAGGCCAGUUCUGGUUGGUCACCCCUGCACAGCAGUGCCCUCUGAUUCGCUCAGCCUACCUCCAAGUCAUCUCCUUGUUGGCGGGGAGCUGCACCCAGGGUUUUGCGAAGCGUUUUCGAGAGGUUGUGAGCAGUGAACUGGACAGCCUCGGGCCAGGGCAGAAGGCAAGAUCUUCCAAGCUCCAGGUGGGCUCCGUUGUGUUCCACCAAGUUAUCACCCAUUUCCUCUGCAAGGAGGCAGCAAGCCUGGCUGGGGCUGAGAGAGUUGGUGCCGUUUGCUUGCUCCUCCAAGGGGCAGAUGUUGAUAUACAAUCAGCCAUCCUGACGUGGGUGAUUGAAGGGGAGGAAGAAAGAAGCAAGGACUUGGAGAAGAGUCUCCAGCUGACCUUACUGGAGAACCUAAAAUCAGUGCUACAAGGUCGGAGGGACAAAGAGUUCUUGAAGUUAUACCUGGAGGCUUUGGUGCAUCUGUGCCGCAAUCCUUCAUCCCAGGCCCAGGAUGUUUUCCAUAAACUCUUGGGUCCUGCAGCAGCAUGUGUGGAUGUCCUGCUAUCUAUGGUGGAAACAGAGUCUCCUGGCCCAGACCUCCUCUUCCAGGCACUCUCCGUGAUUAGCUUGCUCCUUGUCCUGGGUUCCAAGCUUCGGGAUUAUCCCCUGCUUGAGCGAUGGUGUGUGAUGCUGGAAAGAUGCAGCAAAUCCAUUUCUUCAGAGGUGCUGAGACUGGCGGCAGCAAGGUCUCUCAAGCUGGCAGGAGCGGACGUGGUUCAGAGUGCCUUGGAAGCCUCCUGCCCAUCCCUGCUGUCGGUGGCUGUGCGUGUGAUGAACAUGGGCAUUUACCUGCUACAAGAUGAGGAUCAGGAAGUACGGCGUGAAGCCUCUGUCUUCGCCAGCCUUGUUCAGCACGUGUCGGGAGCGCGGCCUAAAGAUAGUUGUGUCUUCAUCCAGGGUAACAGAGGGCUGGUGUGCCUGCUGCAUGUCCUGCUGGAAAAGUUCUGGGGCUGCCAAGAAACCUUUGAGUUUUUGCUACGGCACCUCCCCACACUGGAUCUCAGCAACAUCUUGACAGAACUGGAGGCCAACAAAGCCGUCAGUCUGUAUAAAGAGGACGAACCCAAUGUUUUUGCAGAGCCAGCUGUCUUAUCCCGGCUGCUCCUCCCCUUCCUCCUUCAGCUGCUGGACAGGGUGCCCGCCUCUACUCAGCUUUGUGACUUCGCUCAACGCUGGCUGAAAGCCACCGGGCCCAGCAUCUUACACAACCUGCAGCACUGCAAGCAUUGGUGGAGCCAAGAGGCCAUUGCACCUUUGCAUAUGAAAGCUCUGGGGUGUGCAAAGGUGCAUGCUGCUGUCACAGCGCUACUGGUGAAGGCUACACUUCUGGCCCACGCUCUGGAUGGCCUGGAAAGGACCCACAUCAGUGCUUCAGAGAUCCACUGCACUUCCCAGGAGCUGAGAAGUGAGCUUGUGCUGGUCCAGGAACUGCUGGCCCAGCAUGGAAUGGCCCCCACCUUCAGUUUAGACUAUGGGAUCACAGAUACAAGGUUCUCAGUAAGAGCUGUCUGAUCAUCCCAGGUGGCAGAACUGUGUUGUACUGAGUUACCAUGAGCCAUUAGCCAAGGGGCAGAGUGUGCUCUCUUCACACUGUGCUUUAGAUGUCUGUUCCGAGACAAUGCUGGAUCUCUGUGCUCACCUUCCUGAUUUCUCCUCUGCUGGGAGCCAUCCAGAACUGGAACUAAAGUCCAGGCUGACUGACUCUGCCUAUCACCAGUACUUCAAUGAAACAUCUAAAGCCUCGUUGGGGAAGUGAACUCAGCUGUGCUAAUCGCUCCUACAGGACUUAAAAUACACAAAGCAACGGCCAUGGCAGAAAAGUGUUAUUUUCAAAAUGUUUUGGAAAUAACGUUUUUAAAGCCUGACAUUCAAAUUAAGAGCCUGACAUUUUAGUUUUAGGCCAUUUCAAAUGAGAAUUAAGAUACAGAGCUCAAAGGAACCUUCUGGGCCAUCGCGUCCAGUCUCCUGCUGUCGCAGGUAACCCCAUCGCUUCACUUCCCAACUCCUUUACCUGUUUAUAAAGGGUCCAAUGUGCCCACGAUUCCAUUCAUAAAAUACAAGCCCAGUCAAACUGAUCAAGCCCCAUCUUAAAACUAGUUAGAUUGUUUGCCCCCUCCCCCACGCCUAUUGGGAGGCUACUCCAGAACCUCACAUCUCUGAUGGUUAGAAACCUUUGUCUCGUUGCCAGCCUAAGUUUAUUCAUGGCCAGCUUAUACCCAUUUGUUCUUGUGCCAGCAUUGCUCUCUACCUUAAAUAGCUCUUCACCGUCCCUGGUGUUUACCCUCCUCAUGUAUUUAUUCCUGAAAUUCAAUGUUGAUAAAUGCAAAGUAAUGCACAUUGGAAAA